ACUGGGUUGGCCGAGUGGUUAAGGCGUUGGACUUAAGUUCCAAUGGACAAGUUUCCGCGUGGGUUCGAACCCCACACCCAGUA
rnacentral:tRNA from 1 species